rnacentral:rRNA from 1 species
UACGGAGGGUGCGAGCGUUAAUCGGAAUUACUGGGCGUAAAGCGUGCGUAGACGGUCAAGUAAGUCGGGUGUGAAAGCCCCGGGCUCAACCUGGGAAUUGCAUUCGAGACUGCGUGGCUAGGGUGCGGAAGAGGGAAGCGGAAUUUCCGGUGUAGUGGUGAAAUGCGUAGAGAUCGGCAGGAACACCCAGGGGGAAACCAGUCGACUGGGCAGCACCUGACGCUGAGGUGCGAGAGCGUGGGGAGCGAACCGG